CCUAUCGGGGUUAGUGGCGGACGGGUGAGUAACGCGUGAGAAUCUGCCCUCAGGAGGGGGAUAACGGUUGGAAACGACCGCUAAUACCCCAUAUGCCGCGAGGUGAAAUGAAUUUCGCCUGAGGAUGAGCUCGCGUCUGAUUAGCUAGUUGGUGGGGUAAGAGCCUACCAAGGCUUCGAUCAGUAGCUGGUCUGAGAGGAUGAUCAGCCACACUGGGACUGAGACACGGCCCAGACUCCUACGGGAGGCAGCAGUGGGGAAUUUUCCGCAAUGGGCGAAAGCCUGACGGAGCAACGCCGCGUGAGGGAUGAAGGCCUCUGGGCUGUAAACCUCUUUUAUCAAGGAAGAAGAUCUGACGGUACUUGAUGAAUAAGCCACGGCUAAUUCCGUGCCAGCAGCCGCGGUAAUACGGGAGUGGCAAGCGUUAUCCGGAAUUAUUGGGCGUAAAGCGUCCGCAGGCGGUCUUACAAGUCUGUCGUUAAAGCGUGGAGCUUAACUCCAUUUCGGCGAUGGAAACUGUAAGACUAGAGUGUGGUAGGGGCAGAGGGAAUUCCCGGUGUAGCGGUGAAAUGCGUAGAUAUCGGGAAGAACACCAGUGGCGAAGGCGCUCUGCUGGGCCAUAACUGACGCUCAUGGACGAAAGCUAGGGGAGCGAAAGGGAUUAGAUACCCCUGUAGUCCUAGCCGUAAACGAUGAACACUAGGUGUCGGGGGAAUCGACCCCCUCGGUGUCGUAGCCAACGCGUUAAGUGUUCCGCCUGGGGAGUACGCACGCAAGUGUGAAACUCAAAGGAAUUGACGGGGGCCCGCACAAGCGGUGGAGUAUGUGGUUUAAUUCGAUGCAACGCGAAGAACCUUACCAGGGUUUGACAUCCUGCGAAUCCCUUGGAAACUUGGGAGUGCCUUCGGGAGCGCAGUGACAGGUGGUGCAUGGCUGUCGUCAGCUCGUGUCGUGAGAUGUUGGGUUAAGUCCCGCAACGAGCGCAACCCACGUCUUUAGUUGCCAGCAUUCAGUUGGGCACUCUAGAGAGACCGCCGGUGAUAAACCGGAGGAAGGUGUGGAUGACGUCAAGUCAUCAUGCCCCUUACAUCCUGGGCUACACACGUACUACAAUGCUACGGACAAAGGGCAGCAAACUCGCGAGAGCUAGCCAAUCCCAUAAACCGUGGCUCAGUUCAGAUCGUAGGCUGCAACUCGCCUACGUGAAGGAGGAAUCGCUAGUAAUCGCAGGUCAGCAUACUGCGGUGAAUACGUUCCCGGGCUUGUACACACCGCCCGUCACACCAUGGAAGUUGGCCACGCCCGAAGUCGUUACUCCAACCCUUGUGGAGGAGGAUGCCGAAGGUGGGGCUGAUGACUGGGGUGAAGUCGUAACAAGGUAGCCGUACCGGAAGGUGCGGCUGGAUCACCUCCUA
rnacentral:rRNA from 1 species